ensembl:snoRNA small nucleolar RNA U13
AUCCUUCUGGUUCAAACAAUAUGAUGAUUGGGGGUUUCACGUUAUAUAUGUGAAAUGUGCUACCUAAUUUUCUUGUUACGCUACGCACAAUACCCAUCUGAUU